GACGAACGCUGGCGGCGUGCUUAACACAUGCAAGUCGAACGGAAAGGCCUGCUUUCCCUUGUGGAUUGCGGGUACUCGAGUGGCGAACGGGUGAGUAACACGUGAGUGAUCUGCCCCCAACUUGGGUAUAAGCCUGGGAAACUGGGUCUAAUUCCCGAUAGGACUGCAGGGUGGUGACUGUGGUGGAAAACGAUCUUCUAGUGGUUGGGGAUGAGCUCGCGGCCUAUCAGCUUGUUGGUGGGGUAAUGGACUACCACGGCGGCGACGGGUAGCCGGCCUGAGAGGGUGGACGGUCGCAUUGGGACUGGGAUACGGCCCCGACUCCUGCGGGAGGCAGCAGUGGGGAAUAUUGCACAGUGGGCGGGAGCCUGAUGCAGCGACGCCGCGUGGGGGAUGUCGGCCUUCGGGUUGUAAGCUCCUUUCGACCGCGAGGAAGCCACCUGGUUGGAAGGGUGGUGACGGUAGUGGUAGAAGAAGCACCGGCUAACUACGUG
rnacentral:rRNA from 1 species